rnacentral:rRNA from 1 species
AUCCUCCAAGGCUAAAUACUCCUGACUGACCGAUAGUGAACCAGUACCGUGAGGGAAAGGCGAAAAGAACCCCGGCGAGGGGAGUGAAAAAGAACCUGAAACCGUGUACGUACAAGCAGUGGGAGCACGCUUAGGCGUGUGACUGCGUACCUUUUGUAUAAUGGGUCAGCGACUUAUAUUCUGUAGCAAGGUUAACCGAAUAGGGGAGCCGAAGGGAAACCGAGUCUUAACUGGGCGUUAAGUUGCAGGGUAUAGACCCGAAACCCGGUGAUCUAGCCAUGGGCAGGUUGAAGGUUGGGUAACACUAACUGGAGGACCGAACCGACUAAUGUUGAAAAAUUAGCGGAUGACUUGUGGCUGGGGGUGAAAGGCCAAUCAAACCGGGAGAUAGCUGGUUCUCCCCGAAAGCUAUUUAGGUAGCGCCUCGUGAAUUCAUCUCCGGGGGUAGAGCACUGUUUCGGCAAGGGGGUCAUCCCGA